GUCCAAGGCGAUAUAUGUCACGGCUUAGAGUUUGUUCACUGUUUCCAUUAGCUACUUUGGCUUCAAACUUGGAGAUCUGAUUCAAACCCACAUCACGACCUUUGCCAACUUGCAUGUAUUCGUGAUCCUAUUCAUACCUAAAGCAUGUGAUUGGUAGGUAUGUUAGCCUAUAAUAUUUUCAAACCUUCCAGUGAAUAUAUGUUCUCUCAAGCCAAGAAUUGUAGGGGGACGCCUUCCUUGGCUUCGAAGAAAUUCUUGCAAAAGAUUUCUCAUUUUGAAUGCUUCUUCCAAAUAGCUAUCCUGUAAAUUAACUGAACACCAUAAGAACAAGAAAGAGGUUUUCCUUCUCCAAUUUCGGGUGGACCAGGAAGCUUAAUACGAUAUAUUUCCUACAAAAAAAAGUUCUACUUCAACAAAAGAGAUAAUGAAAGAACUAAGCUACUUUGGUUCAUAAAGAUCAAGAUGGUUACACAUCAACAUUUCUUUUUUUGGUAAAACAUUGAAGAUUAAGAGCUUUCUUUACAGUAUUAUCUAAAGAAAACUAUAUGUUGCCUUAAAACCAUUUAUACUAAUAUGUACAAUGUAGCUAGAUGGUGUAGUACCUGGUCAAAACCGUUGACAGCUUUGAGCAGUAUGGAAGAGUAAAUCUUUUGAGGCUUACUAUCUGGCACAAUCACUUCUUUCUCUUCAACAUAAGCAACACGCAGAGCUGGGUUCCUUUGAGCAAUAAUUAAUCAUGUAGAGUGAGUUAAAAUGCUCUACUAGUACUAUGUGUUCUAUCUAUAUUCUGCAUUUUCUCAUGUACUUCAUUCAUUACCUUUUCAUCAAAUCAAUUAUGUCUUGUGCACGAGGAUCACCAGCCGAUUUUUGUGAUCCAAAUUGUUGACAAGAAAUCACAUAUGUAAACUUUAAGUCUGCUAAAGCAUCUAGUUGAGCGGAUAAUACAUGGUUAUCUGUAUCAUAACCUCCAAGAAUAUCUGGCCAAAACAACCAGAAGGCAAAAGGAAUGGAUUCUCUCAUUAGAUAAACAAGAAGAAAGUAAGUUUGAAGAAUAAGAAUUGGUCUGAGAAAUUAAAUAGGUAGUGUUGAAAACCUUCAUCUUGAGCCAUGUCAAGGAAUGCUUGUAGUUUUAAAGCCUCUCUGUAGUACAUCAUCCCCCUAACUAUAACACCAUUAUAGAACAAAAAUAAGCUGUGCUACAUUAAGAUAAGUAAAAUCUAAUCACAUUUAUGCCUCACAUUUCAAUCCCUUACCUGUUCGGCUUAGAGUUUGGCCCCGGAAAGAAGCCCAAUUUCUAAGUUCUUCCUCCUUGUCUUCAGCUUUCAAUGCUUCCAAACUUGCACAUUCCAUCCGUUCUAAGAAGUUUUUCCAUUCAUCUGAAGGAAAAAAAUAUAAAUGUUAUGAUUGUGUUCAAGUGGAAAAAUAAAAUAUAUAGAAAAGUCUGAGCUUUGUAGUUACCUGGAAAGAUCUUUUGCAUGUAAAAUAUAAUUGAAACUUCUCGCUGACUAGAAUGAAGCUCGUUCCUUGAAAAAUUUACAUCUUCCAUGUAAUGGGGAGUAAGAACACUGUAUCAAUGAAAAUUUUAUGCACUGAUCAUAAGUUUUUAUAUCUUCUAUAGUUUUAGACACAUUAGAAUUCAGAAAAUAAUACUCAUAGGCAUGAAAUAUCACCUGAAUGACAGCAUAUUUUGCACUCUAGGAGCUGUGGGCAUAUUCAUGAACAGGGAAGUAGAAAAGAAUGAUAUGCGCCGGCGAGCAUCCAAGUUAGUAGGUACAUCCAGUGCACUAUCUUUGACAGUAAGUAGCAAAAUAAGACGCCUGAUCUGCUGUGGAAAACUUUGGUCACUAACAUGUCUAACUACUACACACAAUUGCAGGUUGUUUGUUUGUCUAUGCUUGAUUAAAAUCAGCCUAUUCAUAGUUUACAAAAUUCAUCACCUGCUCAUCCAUUGGUGCAUUGUCUGGCAAGGGAAAUUGGAUGGACAUCUCACCGGCGUACUUUUCAAAUAAUUGUGGUUCAAUGUGUCUGCAAAAGUAAGGAGCUUCCUCAUCCGUCUCCUGGAAAGAACUUAGCAAUUCCAUUAUUCUGUGUGGUUUGAACAUGAAGUAUAUGUUAGUAUUAGUAUAUAGAAGAUAUCAACUACUACUGAUCUUACAAAAGAAUGUUAAGUCUGAAAGCAUCAAACCUGGCAGAGUCAACCAUCAUAUCGUUGGUUAUAAUUUCAAAUAUGUCCUGUAGAACUUUAACUACUUUACCAGCAUGAUCUUCAUUUCCUUCAACCUUGAAACAUUUUAAUACUAAGUUAGUAGGUUUGGA